rnacentral:ribozyme from 12 species
AUGGAAAAAAAGAAAAAGAAAAAGAAAAAAAAGGCAUGGACUUGCUUCUUGACAUUAUUUUUUAGUACAUGCAUAAAUACUUUUUCUUUUUUUAUCAAAGCCGAUUUCUGUUUUACCUUUUCGUAUUCCCUUA